rnacentral:rRNA from 1 species
GAUGAACGCUAGCUACAGGCUUAACACAUGCAAGUCGAGGGGAAACGACAUUUAGUGCUUGCACCGAAUGGACGUCGACCGGCGCACGGGUGAGUAACGCGUAUCCAACCUACCCAUUACUGUGGGAUAACCUGCCGAAAGGCAGACUAAUACCGCAUAGUCUUCGAUGACGGCAUCAGAUUUGAAGUAAAGAUUUAUCGGUAAUGGAUGGGGAUGCGUCUGAUUAGCUUGUUGGCGGGGUAACGGCCCACCAAGGCAACGAUCAGUAGGGGUUCUGAGAGGAAGGUCCCCCACAUUGGAACUGAGACACGGUCCAAACUCCUACGGGAGGCAGCAGUGAGGAAUAUUGGUCAAUGGGCGCGAGCCUGAACCAGCCAAGUAGCGUGCAGGAUGACGGCCCUAUGGGUUGUAAA